CGAAGAGCUCCCGAGGGAAUCUGGACAGGCCAUCGUCUGUGUAUUUCCUUGAAAUCAAGUGGAAUGGAUUUCCAUCUCACAUAACACUUGACCACGUCUUUCCUUCAGAAGAUGGCCUCUGAAGUGUUCAGGAGUGAAGAGUAUCUGAUGCCUGCAACUACUUCUAGAUGGUUCUUCAGGAACAGGAGCUUCAUCUGCACCAGCUUGAUGUUCUUCUGCGCCUCUGUCACCUGCUCCACCAGCUCCUUCAUGGACUUUUCCUCCUGGAGGCGCCUCUCAGCGCACUGCUGCAGCAGCUCUGCCGUCUGCUCGGAC